rnacentral:rRNA from 1 species
GUCGGCUACCAUACCACGUUGAAAGCACCGGUUCUUGUCCGAUCACCGAAGUUAAGCAACGUUGGGCC